CGAUAACGAUCUUUGGGAUCUAAGAAUUGAAUUAGUGGGCAAUUCUCACUGUUUACCAUUAUUAUCCCAUAAAUAUCCCCAAAGAGGAUAUGUGGAUGGCAAGACACAGGGGUGCAUGGUCAGACCAUGUGAUAGGGCUGUAGGAGCAUGAUGACACUAAAUGUAAGAACCUAUGUGGUUGAAAGAACAUGUCUAACCUGGAGUAUGUAUGGGUUGCGUGGGAGUAGUAGGAGUAGUCCUUCCUAUUGGGGUGGCUUAGUCUCCAGCAUUCAUAUAGCUGAGCGCUGUCCAGGAGACGGGAGAAGUGUUUGUGGAGAGAGUCGCAUCUGUUGGGGGUGGCCGAUGUGGUGUCUAAAGCAGAGUCUAGGGACAGGUUGCAGUCUCCCCCCAUUAUGAGUAUACCCUCUGCAAAAGUGUCUAUCCAACGUAGGCAUUUUUUAAGGGUCUUGCAUUGGCCUGUAUUAGGCAGGUACAUAUUAACAAAGGUGAUUUUAUUUUGUCCCAUGGUCCCCUUUACUAGCAGUAACCUCCCUGAGUCGUCUGUUUUCUGGUCUAUGAGCGUAAAAGGUACCUGGGCGGAUAAUAAUAUGGCCACUCCCCUAGUUUUUUUCUGAGCGAAAUGUCCAAAAUAGCUUGUGGGAUAUCUACUGUUUCUCAAAUUGGGGGCUUUGUCUUUUUUGAAGUGGGUUUCUUGGAGGAACGCUACGUCUGCGUGCAGUCUAUGUAGCUCUUUGAGGGCUAGGGAUCUUUUCUCAGGGGAGUUUAACCCCUUUACAUUGAGGGUGAUUAUGCGUAGGGUAGUCAUUGUCUGUCUGUUACCUUGGAGUUAUCUAGGGCAGGCGUCGUGCCUCCGCCCAGCGCUUGGCCACAGACCUGUCUGUACAAAGAUCUUUAGAAAUUCACAAGUAAAAAUGCACUAAAACAAGACAAAUAAUUCAACUUCAAUGAUCAAUCAAUGAGUAACACAAACUUGAAUUGUAACUUGCACCUGUGUCAGGUGCGUGAAUACCUAU